ACCGGGAUGGACGUACCGCUGGUGUACCAGUUGUUCCGCCAGGAGCACCGCUGGGUAGCUAUGUACGGACGGGAUAAGCGCUGAAAGCAUCUAAGCGUGAAGCCCCCCUCAAGAUGAGAUUUCCCAAUGAGUAAGACCCCUUGAAGACGACGAGGUAGAUAGGCUGGGGGUGGAAGUGCAGCAAUGCAUGGAGCUGACCAGUACUAAUCGGUCGAGGGCUUAUCCAAAA
rnacentral:rRNA from 1 species